CGGCGGACGGGUGAGUAACGCGUGGGUAACCUGCCUCGUACAGGGGGAUAACAGUUGGAAACGGCUGCUAAUACCGCAUAAGCGCACAGUACCGCAUGGUACCGUGUGAAAAACUCCGGUGGUAUGAGAUGGACCCGCGUCUGAUUAGGUAGUUGGUGGGGUAACGGCCUACCAAGCCGACGAUCAGUAGCCGACCUGAGAGGGUGACCGGCCACAUUGGGACUGAGACAUGGCCCAA
rnacentral:rRNA from 1 species